GGCUUAGCUACCAACCAUAUUGGCUGUUGUGCUUUGUCCGGCUCGCAUGAAACCCCACAAAUGGUGACCCCGACGUGAUCCCUUCUGAAAAAGCGAGGAUUCUAGCCGCGGCAGGAGGCACCGGCUUUUCGGCUCCUGGGCGUCCGAGAGUGACGCAAGUGCGCACAGGUCCCCGGUGGAUCCCGGCCAAGUGGGUAUGUCCGUGGCUACAGCAACCUCGCUCGCCCUUGAACCCAGCGUCUGGAGAACAAGAUCCUGCGCUUGGAGAGGAAGCAUCAGAGGAGGCGAAUGACCCUUUUGUUGCCUGGAAAGAAUCAGCAGCGAAGUCGGCGAAGUGCGACCCUGCAAGAUACGUGUUCAGCCGAUGUUAGCUUAUACAGUCACUCGGAAUAUUUGGCCUUAAUGAAUGCCAUUGCAGGCAUUCCUGGUUUUUCAACUUAUUACACGGUACAAACUUUGAAUGCAUUAGCUUGCUUUGCUGUUAAGGCGCUUAAUGCUACAUCACAGGCAAUUGCUCUUUUAAAUAUGGAACAGCAGGAAUUGAGAGAUGCCAUUUUAGAUAAUCGAGCUGCGAUUGAUUUCUUAUUGCUUAAGCAUCAUAUGGGAUGUGAUUCUUUUAAACAUAUGUGUUGCUUUAACCUUACGGAUAAUAGCCGAUACAUUGAGGAGCGCCUGGAUGAGUUGACUUCUCUCACUGAGCACAUCUGUCAAGAUACCGGGUUUGCGGGAUUUUGGGACUGGCUUACAGGGUGGUUGCCUUCUUUGGGGUGGCUUCGGCAGUUAUUUGGAAUUAUAGGUUUUGUAUGUAUUGGUCUUAUUUGCCUUUGUUGCUGUCUGCAAUGUCUCCCCUCCUUGUUUGAUAUAUUCCGUAAAAUGUAUCGCUCCACCCCCGUUGGGUCACCCCUGUUAAUGAACGAAAAUUGGAUGGAACUACGCAAGUGACCAGUGGUCCGUGUAUUAUGUAAUAAUAAGGGAGGAGAUGUGGGAACAUGGUGUAUUUGUGAGCUAGUUAAGAAUAUUUAUGAGCUAGUUAAGAUCGCGGUGAACUUUUAAUGAACCACUGAGAAAUAGUUUCAGGCUGGAACGUGACCCAGGCAAACUAGCAACACCAGAUCUUGUUGACAACAGACAGCGAACAGCUGUGCUCCAAUCAAGAGGAAGGACGCAUGUGCAUAACCUGUGCUGAGGCUGCUCGACCAACGAGAUGUCUCCGUGAUUGGGUGAUGGACUUUGGAGGGGGUUGAAAAUAUUAUGUAAGAGGAGUGUAUAAAAGCAAUGAGAAAAUAACAGAUAAACUGCUUAGCUAC